rnacentral:rRNA from 1 species
GACAGAGGGUGCAAACGUUGUUCGGAAUUACUGGGCGUAAAGCGCGUGUAGGCUGCUUCGCAAGUCGGGUGUGAAAGCCCUGGGCUCAACCUAGGAAGUGCACUCGAAACUGCGAAGCUUGAGUCCUGGAGAGGAAGGCGGAAUUCUCGGUGUAGAGGUGAAAUUCGUAGAUAUCGAGAGGAACACCGGUGGCGAAGGCGGCCUUCUGGACAGUGACUGACGCUGAGACGCGAAAGCGUGGGGGGCAAACAGG